AGCAACAUGGCGCAGCCGGUAGCGCGCAGGGCCCAUAACCCUGAGGUCAUUCGAUCGAAACGAAUUGUUGCUA